GUAGGGGGCUAGCGUUGUCCGGAAUCAUUGGGCGUAAAGCGCGUGUAGGCGGUUCGGUAAGUCCGCUGUGAAAGUCGGGGGCUCAACCCUCGGAUGCCGGUGGAUACUGUCGGACUAGAGUACGGAAGAGGCGAGUGGAAUUCCUGGUGUAGCGGUGAAAUGCGCAGAUAUCAGGAGGAACACCGAUUGCGAAGGCAGCUCGCUGGGACGUUACUGACGCUGAGACGCGAAAGCGUGGGGAGCAAACAGGAUUAGAUACCCUGGUAGUCCACGCCGUAAACGAUGGGCACUAGGUGUGGGGGGUGUCGACUCCCUCCGUGCCGAAGCUAACGCAUUAAGUGCCCCGCCUGGGGAGUACGGCCGCAAGGCUAAA
rnacentral:rRNA from 1 species